CUCGCCCUUCAUUGCUCCCACUCAUGUCCAGGCUGUUCAUGUAGAUCUCACCCAUUUCUCCAUGUCUUUCUUGGGGUCCCGUUUUCCAGGUAGCCUCACUGGUGAUGAGAGUAGCAGUCCAGUCAUUCUUGUUUUGUGUGGUCAUCUUUUAUUGGCCAGGCAUGAUCAAGACCUCUGACAUGGACUGGUGCUAGGUCCUUCGGCAGACUCUGAAGGAUCAGGAACUCUUGAUAUCAACCAGAAACUCCGACAGUGACUCUUGCUAGGUCCUCAGGCCAACUCUGACAUGGACUAGGAACUCUGCCAGCUCCUGUUGCUAGGUCAUCAGACAGACUCUGAACACUCUGGAACUCUAACAUUGACUAGGAACCCUGAUGGCAACUGUUGCUAGGUCCUCAGGCAUACUCAAGUUUGGCUCUCAAGGAGUAAGCAACAAUGGAAGCCACUUAGGUGACGCUACAGAAGUCAAUCGAUCUUAGACAUCCAUCUCAUGGCCCGCUAAAGACUUGUUCAUGCCUGCCUUUCUGAAAUCCAAAAGGCCUGACCCUCCCAACCUGGGGUGACUCCUCUGGGAUGGAUGCUCUUCAAGGGCUGGUAGUCACAGAUGGGUAAGACCUUGCUUGGCAAGCCAACCUAAGACAGGCACAUUCCAGUUACUGGGAACCCUGAGGCGGGGUCAGUAGGACAGGAGCAAAGGACUCUGACACCCAUUGAGUGGCCACAUAAUAAAAUAAAGGAUGGAUAUGUAGUAGGAGAGGCCUGUGGUUUUGAGGAAUUUGGGUCAGACCAGUUGCCAAAGCAUGCACAUGCUAUACUUUUUAUGAGCCAACCUGGAGUCUUCCUGAGGGCCUAGCAACAGGCUCUGUCAGAGUUCCUGAUUGUGCCCAGCCAGUGAGGGAUGACCUCACAAGGCACCCAGAUUGUGACACAGCCUGGGUGUUGGGAGGAGGGUAUAGAAGGCCUUCCCUGUUAUUGAAUGAUCAACUUUGCUGUUUGCCUUCAAUGGACUCCUGGUGUCUGUGUCAUUGAUGCUGUGUCUUCUCACCCCUUCCCCUAAGGGAGCUGCUAGUUUCCACUAACACCUCCCCCACUCUGAUCCCAAUUCUUCAUCACAAUCUGCAAUCAUCUUAUCUUUACAGAUUCUCUAAACAAGAAAAUUGCACUAAACAGGGCAAGGGAAGAAACUUGAGGAAAGAAAAGUGUGAAGAAUUUGAACACCACGAGAAAGGUGAAUGCACAACUGGGAAAGAAAGAAGGGUCCACCUUC